GAUCCUUGAAACCUAUAGAUUGUUUGCAGGGAGUCAUAAAGAGAAGCCAACUAAAACUGAAGUUUUUGGUUGGUAUUUUGUAUGAGAUGUGCUCCAAUAUUUUUUUUCACACAGUUCUGAUUCCCAUUAUUUUUUGCCCUCAUCCUCAGGCAACCUGUGUCCUGGCCAUCACAACCUCAACAACGUCUUGUGAAGAAUGCUAGGGGUCUCGAGUGUAGCCAAAGGAAGUUAUAACUGCUGUGGAAUGAAAAAGACGAACUAUGUACACUGAGGUUGCUUCUCCUAAUUCCCAAUAAGAGAUGACUUCUUUCUUCAGCUAUAUAUGAGAUAUGUAGAAUUGGCACCCAAAUAAGUGGAGUCCUGCCCAUGUUGAUAGGAAUACGAUCGAGAUCAAUAUAUCCUACCGAGGAUGCUAAAAAUUUGGUGGAGAGGAGGAUUGUUAUUCUUAGAGACAUAUGUGUUGGAAGCAACAAAUGUGGAGGAUGCACUCUUGAUUGUUGAAGAAGAUCUUGAGCAUUGUAAAACAAAAGAAUUUUGCUGCAGAUAUAAGUGUUGCUAAAUUAUUGUCGGAAACAGUCUUUCUACCCUACAAAGAUAGUGGUAAGAUCCGCGUACACCUACCCUUUUGAAAUCACACUUGUCGAAUUACACUGAAUAUGUUGCUGUUGUCGUUGUACGUGGUAUUCAAUU